rnacentral:tmRNA from 1 species
GGGGGCGAAACGGCUUCGACGAGGGUAAUGAGGCACGAGUUGCAUACCGAGGCCCCGGACCUCGCAAAAAUUCGGGAUAUUAAAUAUAAUCGCAGACGAUUAUAACUACGCCGUAGCAGCGUAAGCUACCGUCCGGGCGGGUCUCUUCUCGCGGAUCCGUCCAGGGGCGUCGACUAGCGGGAUAGCGGAUACCGGGCGCCUGAGCCGGGCUUCGCGAAUUUUUCUCAGGCUGGCCGCCAUCGUAUCCAGUCCGGUGGAGACGGUGCUGGUGAGAUCAAAUACCGGAAUAUGUAUGUAGACGCUCCUGUGGAAUGCUUUCGGACGCGGGUUCGACUCCCGCCGCCUCCACCA